UCAAAAAAGAAAGCUUUCUUCCUGCCUUGAAAAUUCUCUUUGAAAUCCAGAUGUGAUUUCGCCAUUUUGAAGCUCUAUCUGCAAUACUGUAACUGCAAGUAACAUGAAGUGGAGCAUGAUUUGAACCCUCCCUUAUCAGUCUUGCUCUAUUCUGCCAUUCCACCAGGUGCAACAACUUCCAGAGAAUUUUAUCUCAUUUAAGGCACAAGAAUUUAUGCAUUGGACAAAAUCCUCAACUUCUGCUUGUGAUACAGGUAAUCCUACCAACUUUUUUGAUUCAUCAGUAAUGGUAUUCAAAUCUCCCCUUACCAUCCAAGAACAAUUUGUAUGGCAAGCAAUCUCCUCAAGGUCUUCCAACAGUUCCAAUCUCUCUAUGGCACUACAUCUAGCAUAGACUACUGUAAUUUUGACAUGAGCAUUGUUGUCUCUGUGUUUGGAAGAGACAGUAAUCUGUUGUAAUGAGUCAAAGCACUCUUGCUCCUCCCACUCUUUAUCCCAAAACAACCA